GGGGAGUGAGAAAGUGCAGUCGUUAGUGGAAGGCCUCUGGAAGGGGUCGCCGUAGAGGGUGAGAGCCCCGUACACGAAAACGCUGCACCUCCCUGUGACGUGUUCCCAAGUAGCACCGAGCCCGUGAAAUUCGGUGUGAAUCUGGCGGGACCACCCGCUAAGCCUGAAUACUCCCUGGUGACCGAUAGCGGACGAGUACCGUGAGGGAAAGGUGAAAAGUACCCCGGGAGGGGAGUGAAAUAGUACCUGAAACCGUGUGCCUACAAGCCGUGAGAGCCGUGAAGCCGCACUUCGUGUGCGGGCGGUGAUUGCGUGCCUUUUGAAGAAUGAGCCUGCGAGUUAGCGGUACGUGGCGAGGUUAACCCGUGGGGGGUAGCCGUAGCGAAAGCGAGUCCGAACAGGGCGGUGGCACUUCGGUGUCGAUAGUCGCGUGCUCUAGACCCGAAGCCGGGUGAUCUACCCAUGGCCAGGUUGAAGCGCGGGUAAGACCGCGUGGAGGACCGAACCCACCAGGGUUGAAAACCUGGGGGAUGAGCUGUGGGUAGGGGUGAAAGGCCAAUCAAACCCGGUGAUAGCUGGUUCUCCCCGAAAUGCAUUUAGGUGCAGCGUCGCGUGUUUCUUGCCGGAGGUAGAGCACUGGAUGGCCGAUGGGCCCCACAAGGUUACUGACGUCAACCAAACUCCGAAUGCCGGUAAGUGAGAGCGCGGCAGUGAGACUGCGGGCGAUAAGGUUCGUAGUCGAGAGGGAAACAGCCCAGAUCAUCGGCUAAGGCCCCUAAGCGUGUGCUAAGUGGAAAAGGAUGUGGGAUCGCAGAGACAACCAGGAGGUUGGCUUAGAAGCAGCCACCCUUGAAAGAGUGCGUAAUAGCUCACUGGUCAAGUGGUUCCGCGCCGACAAUGUAGCGGGGCUCAAGCACACCGCCGAAGCCGUGGCACUCACACGUUGCCCGCCGUCGCCUCAUUCGUGGGGUGCGGCCAGGUGUGUGGGUGGGUAGGGGAGCGUCGUGUGGCGGGUGAAGCGGCGGAGGAAUCCAGCCGUGGACGCCACGCGAGUGAGAAUGCAGGCAUGAGUAGCGAGAGGGGAGUGAGAACCUCCCCCGCCGGAAGACCAAGGGUUCCUGGGCCAGGCUAAUCCGCCCAGGGUGAGUCGGGACCUAAGGCGAGGCCGACAGGCGUAGUCGAUGGACAACGGGUUGAUAUUCCCGUACCCGCGAAGGAACGCCCAUGCUGAACCCAGCGAUGCUGACCCACCGAAACCGCUCGCCCUCUUCGGAGUGCGGGUGGGAGUAGCUGGGGACCCGGACUGGUAGUAGGCAAGCGAUGGGGUGACGCAGGAAGGUAGUCGGGCCGGUGAGUGGUAGUACCGGUGCAAGGGUGUGGCCCGUGGCGUAGGUAAAUCCGCGCCGCAUGCAGGGUGAGGCCUGACGCAUAGCCGAGUGAGGCGAAUCCGAUGAUCCUAUGCUGCCGAGAAAAGCCUCUAGCGAGUUCCGAGCGGCCCGUACCCCAAACCAACUCAGGUGGUCAGGUAGAGAAUACCGAGGCGAUCGAGCGAACUGUGGUUAAGGAACUCGGCAAAAUGCCCCCGUAACUUCGGGAGAAGGGGGACCCUCGCCCGUCAACCGCCUCGCGCGGGGUAGCGGAGGGGGGUCGCAGAGACCAGUGAGAAGCGACUGUUUACUAAAAACACAGGUCCGUGCGAAGUCGUAAGACGAUGUAUACGGACUGACGCCUGCCCGGUGCUGGAACGUUAAGGGGACGGGUUAGUGCGCCUUCGGGUGUGCGAAGCUCAGAACUCAAGCGCCAGUAAACGGCGGUGGUAACUAUAACCAUCCUAAGGUAGCGAAAUUCCUUGUCGGGUAAGUUCCGACCUGCACGAAUGGCGUAACGACUUCUCAGCUGUCUCAACCACAGGCUCGGCGAAAUUGCACUACGAGUAAAGAUGCUCGUUACGCGCGGCAGGACGGAAAGACCCCGGGACCUUCACUACAGCUUGAUAUUGGUGUUCGGUUCGGCUUGUGUAGGAUAGGUGGGAGACUGUGAAGCCGGCACGCCAGUGUCGGUGGAGUCGCCGUUGAAAUACCACUCUGGUCGAAUUGGAUGUCUAACCUCGGUCCGUGAUCCGGAUCAGGAACAGUGUCAGGUGGGUAGUUUAACUGGGGCGGUUGCCUCCCAAAAUGUAACGGAGGCGCCCAAAGGUUCCCUCAGCCUGGUUGGCAAUCAGGUGUCGAGUGCAAGUGCACAAGGGAGCUUGACUGUGAGACCGACGGGUCGAGCAGGAGCGAAAGCUGGGACUAGUGACCCGGCACCGGCAUGUGGAAGCGGUGUCGCUCAACGGAUAAAAGGUACCCCGGGGAUAACAGGCUGAUCUUCCCCAAGAGUCCAUAUCGACGGGAUGGUUUGGCACCUCGAUGUCGGCUCGUCGCAUCCUGGGGCUGGAGUAGGUCCCAAGGGUUGGGCUGUUCGCCCAUUAAAGCGGUACGCGAGCUGGGUUUAGAACGUCGUGAGACAGUUCGGUCCCUAUCCGCCGCGCGCGUAAGAGACUUGAGAAGAGCUGUCCCUAGUACGAGAGGACCGGGACGGACGAACCUCUGGUGUGCCAGUUGUACCGCCAGGUGCACUGCUGGUUGGCUACGUUCGGCAGGGAUAACCGCUGAAAGCAUCUAAGCGGGAAGCUCGCUUCGAGAUGAGGUCUCUCACCCAGUCAAUGGGGUAAGGCCCCCGCCCAGACCAGCGGGUUGAUAGGCCGGAAGUGGAAGCACCGCAAGGUGUGUGAGCUGACCGGUACUAACAGGCCGAGGGCUUGACCA
rnacentral:rRNA from 1 species